GCCUUGUACACACCGCCCGUCACACCAUGGGAGUGAAUUGCACCAGAAGGGGCUAGGCUAACUUUAGGGAGGCCGGUCACCACGGUGUGGUUCAUGACUGGGGUGAAGUCGUAACAAGGUAGCCGUAGGGAACCUGCGGCUGGAUUACCUCCUU
rnacentral:rRNA from 1 species